ensembl:lncRNA
CAGUACCCUUGGUGGUAGGCCGGAUGUCGAUCGCCGCGGCAGCUACGUAAACAUCGUAAACAACGUCUUCCUCCCCAAGAAUGCAGACGAACGUCUCCACCUCCUUGUUCGCCCAAGCAAGCUUUUUACGCGACAUGUUAAUUGUAAAGAAUAAUACCUCGAGGCUACUGUUUGUUUGUUUUUAUCCCCGUGUCACCCGGAAGUGACGAUUCUGUCGACCAAUCAACGGAGGGGGGGUGUAGCUAGAAUUUCACGGGACCCUUUCAGGCGUCUGGUCUCGUUUUGGGUACCGCAACGGAGGAGUCCCGAGAAUGGGGCCGGAACGGGUACGGCAAAGUCCGGGUCACGCCCACUUUUGGCGGUGGAAACGCGACCUGACCCGCACCUUUGCGAUCCGAUCCGUUCCGCACCCUGCAGUGGAAACGCGCCAUUACUAGCCAAAAUUUGAGUACGCAGUACGUUCCAAUUCAGAUCCGGCGAAAAGAAGUAUACUUCAAGGACCCGGAUGCCGUACUCAAAACGGGCUAAUCGUGAAGUGUGGAUCGAAGGACACUCCCCGUACUCAACGGCAGCCAUCUUAGCUACGUAGCGAAAGAGGCGGAGCCAGGCUGAGCCAAAGUCGGCGCAUUUCCCACAUAGUCUGCAUUAAUAGUCAUUUUGUAGUUUUUAUAGUUUUUAUAGUUUUUAUAGCUGCUAGGCGUAAAGAGUUCACCGUUCAAAGCGGGAUGUUUAUUGCGGGGGAGGAGCCACGGCGGCAAACGUGAUCGUAAUUUCCGGUUAGUGCACCAUGGAGUACUCGAUUUGGAACAGCACUCACAUCUGAAAAAUUAGAGUGGUGGAGGGAUGACGUAUGUUGGCCAACCCGGAAGUGAGCGUCGCCCUGGAUUCCCUCGACAAAAAGCCAACGGGUUUUGCCAUUGGAUUUUGGAUUAUUGCUGAAACAUUUGCAUCUUUGAAGCACCUCCUCAAAAACUG